rnacentral:rRNA from 1 species
CAGUCGCCGCGGGAAUACGAAGGGGGCUAGCGUUGCUCGGAAUCACUGGGCGUAAAGGGUGCGUAGGCGGGUCUUUAAGUCAGAGGUGAAAUCCUGGAGCUCAACUCCAGAACUGCCUUUGAUACUGAGGAUCUUGAGUUCGGGAGAGGUGAGUGGAACUGCGAGUGUAGAGGUGAAAUUCGUAGAUAUUCGCAAGAACACCAGUGGCGAAGGCGGCUCACUGGCCCGAUACUGACGCUGAGGCACGAAAGCGUGGGGAGCAGACAGGAUUAGAUACCCCUGUAGUCCCUGUCUCUUAUAC